rnacentral:lncRNA from 1 species
UGAUUCUCAAAUUUAUUUUUGGAUGACGCUCUUUCCGUGAGACUGGUUAUAUUCCCCUGUUUCAUGUUGUGUACUGUGCUUAUUGAUAUUAUUUACCAGUGUGAUUUGAAAUGUUCAUGAUCUUUUUUAUGCAUGGUAAGAUGCAAAUGUUUUGUUUUAACCUUAAAGACCAUGAACUUAAUCAAUAUAUUGCUUGUGUCACAUCCCCCACAAAAAAAAGCUGACUAUUUUUAGAUUAUCUAUACUUGCAAUAUUUAAUACAACGAAGCAUUCUUGUAAUAUAAAAGCACAAAUUUGGAGUAACAUUGAAUGAGUUGCUGGACUUCUUACAUUUCAUGCCAGGAGUGGGAUAACCAAAUAGCUUGAAUAUAACUUUGUUGGGGUACAAAGUCACCAAUUUAAUAGAUAUAUGUGUCUUGCCUUUUAUAAUUUUAUUUUACUUUUACUGGUCUUCACAAGCUUUUCAUGUUUAUAAAUAUAAUUUCUCUAUGCCAUCAAUGUUAUCUUCCUUCUACUAUAUCUCAAUACUAUCAAUUAAAAUGUAUUAACAGUAUUAAUGUUUGUUAGGUCCGUUAAUACGUUUUAAUUGAUAGUAUUGCUGAGAGAUUUAGGAAGUUAGUUUUUUAUAUAAGUUAGUUUGUUGGGCUGAGAUAGAGAGGAAUUAAGGCAGAUUGUCUAUAAAUAAAUGGGAAGGUUGAAAUAGAGAUAGUCUUGUCAUACGAACUAACAAGAAAAGAAUAUAAGAAAGUUAGAAGAAUUAGGAGAAACUAUAAACCCAUCAAAACAACCCAUUGGCAUUCUGGAUAAAAAAUCUGAACAUUAGAAGCAAAAAUGAAGUUCUGAGGGUCAAGAAUCAUGGUGGCAGAGAUGACUCUGAGUCUGAUGGGUUGUUUUGGGGUUGCUAAGAGGAUUCGGAGAAGUCCUGUAGUUGAUAUGGAGGCAGAAAGCAAGGAACAUCAUGCUGGGUAAAACAUCCCUUAAACCAGAAACAGAAACAAAUCUAGACAUCAUGAAUCAGAAUCAGGUGGUGGAGAAAAAACAUCAAGGAAACAAAAGAGACAGAGAACAACCUCCCUUUUGAUAAUGGCAAGAACAAAAUUUUCUAUCAAUCUGGUUAGAAGUGUUGUGAAUAUGCAGAGAAAGAAUAGGGAGGAAGAAACUGAUAGGCCAAUAGCCAGAUGGAGAAGCAAUAUGAAAGGAAAACAGAGGGAAAUAUGCAGGUUGCCAUUGUGACGACCACCUUUUGGGUUGCAGAUGGAAAAGCAAACUCAGAUUUAGGUAAGAAAAUGGAACUGAAGAUUGAGAAGGAAACCAAUCCAACGGGUGGAACGAUGGGGAGUAGAAAAUGUUUCGGGUACUAGAAGCCGCACCACAACCGCCGGAACUUCUAGACUUGGUUUCUCCAAAAGAGGCUGAUGUUUUAUUUAGUAGUUGAAAAGGUCCUAUAGGAUGUGAAAGAUCUAACAUGUUCAAUCCAAGAAACUCAAGAAUAAUAAUGGAAAUGACCCAUGAUAGUUUAGAUCAUCAAGAAAAGAAACAAUAAACAGAAGAUGAAAUGACAAAACAUGGAAAGAUUAGUAUUUGGCAUCAACUAAAAAACACUGUUGAUGUUGAUGAAGAAAAUCUUGACUAUCGAUGAAUGAAAAAUAACAUAACAUUGAAAUUUUAGUUUCUCUUAAAAUUUACUUCUUUAACAACAUAUUUUGUCUUUAAGCAUCUCAAAUUUCCCUAUUCUAGCAUCUUAUUUUUUUUAGAAUGUGCAAGGAAUAUUUUGAGAAUAUUCUAGAAAACUCUUUUAAGGAAAGAUUGUAUUCUCAGCAUAUUUUAAAAUAAGAGUUACAUUAUCACAAAGAAGAUUUGUACUGUCUAAAUUAUGCCUUUCCAUUAUCACGUUAGUAGUUUUUCCUAUUUUACUAAGUUUAUUAAUUGCAGAUUAUAUGUAAGAUGGAUCAAUCUUCUUCUAGUAAUGCUUUACAGUUUAUUGUUCUAGCAAUAUUAUUUCUCAAUUUACACAAUUUGAAUAACCUCUUUUUAUAUAUUGUUGCA